rnacentral:rRNA from 1 species
AUUGAACGCUGGCGGCAUGCUUUACACAUGCAAGUCGAACGGCAACGCGGAGAAGCUUGCUUCUCUGUCGGCGAGUGGCGAACGGGUGAGUAUAGCAUCGGAACGUGCCAAGUAGUGGGGGAUAACCAAACGAAAGUUUGGCUAAUACCGCGUAAGCUCCAAGGAGGAAAGUAGGGGACCUAAAUAAGGCCUUACGCUAUUUGAUCGGCCGAUGUCGGAUUAGCUAGUUGGUGGGGUAAUGGCUCACCAAGGCAAUGAUCCGUAGCGGGUCUGAGAGGACGAUCCGCCACACUGGGACUGAGAUACGGCCCAGACUCCUACGGGAGGCAGCAGUGGGGAAUUUUGGACAAUGGGGGAAACCCUGAUCCAGCCAUGCCGCGUGUAUGAAGAAGGCCUUAGGGUUGUAAAGUACUUUUGUUAGGGAAGAAAAGCUAGUUUUUAAUAAAAAUUAGUGAUGACGGUACCUAAAGAAUAAGCACCGGCUAACUACGUG